rnacentral:ncRNA from 1 species
CUAACUAUUUUGAUGGAGACACACUUUAUCUACUGAAAUCUCAAGAGAGCUGAUGGAUGGUGCAAAUCAGUGAUUUCGCAGUAAAGUAGCACUCUGGAAUAGAUAAACUGAAACGUCUAGUAGGUUUAUCCGUCACAUGCGCGUUAAGCAUGCUAACCAAGACUGUCUAUUUUUUUCAGACAGUAAAAAGGGUGGUACCGCGUGAGUAUUUCAGCUUUUCGCCCCUUAC